rnacentral:rRNA from 1 species
GAUGAACGCUGGCGGCGUGCCUAAUACAUGCAAGUCGAGCGAACAGAUGAGGAGCUUGCUCCUCUGACGUUAGCGGCGGACGGGUGAGUAACACGUGGAUAACCUACCUAUAAGACUGGGAUAACUUCGGGAAACCGGAGCUAAUACCGGAUAAUAUAUUGAACCGCAUGGUUCAAUAGUGAAAGACGGUUUUGCUGUCACUUAUAGAUGGAUCCGCGCCGCAUUAGCUAGUUGGUAAGGUAACGGCUUACCAAGGCAACGAUGCGUAGCCGACCUGAGAGGGUGAUCAGCCACACUGGAACUGAGACACGGUCCAGACUCCUACGGGAGGCAGCAGUAGGGAAUAUUCCGCAAUGGGCGAAAGCCUGACGGAGCAACGCCGCGUGAGUGAUGAAGGUCUUCGGAUCGUAAAACUCUGUUAUUAGGGAAGAACAAAUGUGUAAGUAACUAUGCCCGUCUUGACGGUACCUAAUCAGAAAGCAACGGCUAACUACGUG